GACGAACGCUGGCGGCGUGCUUAACACAUGCAAGUCGAACGAAGUGGCGAACGGGAGAGUAACGCGUAAUCAACCUGCCCUUCAGAGGGGGACAACAGUUGGAAAAGACAGCUAAUAACGCAUAAUGAAGGAGGGGAGUGCGUAUGAUUAGCUAGGUGGAGGGGUAACGGCCCACCAAGGCGAUGAUCAGUAGCCGGUCUGAGAGGAUGAUCAGUCACCCUGGAACUGAUACACGGUCCAGACUCCUACGGGAGGCAGCAGUGGGGAAUAUUGGACAAUGGGCGCAAUCCUGAUCCAACCAUGCCGCGUGUGUUAAGAAGGUCUUCGGAUUUUAAAGCACUUUAAGUUGGGAAGCGUUACCAACAGAAUAAGCACCGGCUAACUUCGUGCCAGCAGCCGCGGUAAUUC
rnacentral:rRNA from 1 species